CGCGUAGGCGGCCUAUUAAGUCAGUUGUUAAAUACCAUGGCUUACCCAUGGAAAGGCAAUUGAUACUGGUGGGCUGAGAGGGCAAGAGAGAGAAGCGGAAUUCUCGGAGUAGCGGUAAAAUGCGUAGAUCUCGAGAGGAACACCGAUGGCGAAGGCAGCUUCUUGGCUUGUACCUGACGCUGAGGCACGAAAGCGUGGGGAGCGAACAGGAUUAGAUACCCUGGUAGUCC
rnacentral:rRNA from 1 species